UACGUAGGGGGCAAGCGUUGUCCGGAUUUAUUGGGCGUAAAGAGCGUGUAGGCGGCUAGGUAGGUCCGUUGUGAAAACUCGAGGCUCAACCUCGAGACGUCGAUGGAAACCAUCUAGCUAGAGUCCGGAAGAGGAGAGUGGAAUUCCUGGUGUAGCGGUGAAAUGCGCAGAUAUCAGGAAGAACACCAAUUGCGAAGGCAGCUCGCUGGGACGUUACUGACGCUGAGACGCGAAAGCGUGGGGAGCAAACAGG
rnacentral:rRNA from 1 species